rnacentral:rRNA from 1 species
UACGGAGGAUCCGAGCGUUAUCCGGAUUUAUUGGGUUUAAAGGGUGCGUAGGCGGUUUGAUAAGUUAGAGGUGAAAUGUCGGGGCUUAACCCCGAAACUGCCUCUAAUACUGUUGGACUAGAGAAUAGUUGCGGUAGGCGGAAUGUACGGUGUAGCGGUGAAAUGCUUAGAGAUCAUACAGAACACCGAUUGCGAAGGCAGCUUACCAAACUAUAUCUGACGUUGAGGCACGAAAGCGUGGGUAGCAAACAGG